CGGACGGGUGAGUAAUGCUUGGGAAUCUGGCUUAUGGAGGGGGGUAACUACGGGAAACUGUAGCUAAUACCGCAUAAUAUCGAAAGAUUAAAGGGUGGGACUUUCGGGCCACCUGCCAUGAGAUGAGCCCAAGUGGGAUUAGGUAGUUGGUUAGGUAAAGGCUGACCAAGCCGACGAUCUCUAGCUGGUCUGAGAGGAUGACCAGCCACACUGGAACUGAGACGCGGUCCAG
rnacentral:rRNA from 1 species